rnacentral:rRNA from 1 species
UAGAGUUUGAUCCUGGCUCAGAUUGAACGCUGGCGGCAUGCCUUACACAUGCAAGUCGGACGGCAGCGCGGGCUUCGGCCUGGCGGCGAGUGGCGAACGGGUGAGUAAUACAUCGGAACGUGUCCUGGAGUGGGGGAUAGCCCGGCGAAAGCCGGAUUAAUACCGCAUACGCUCUGCGGAGGAAAGCGGGGGACCUUCGGGCCUCGCGCUCAAGGGGCGGCCGAUGGCAGAUUAGCUAGUUGGUGGGGUAAAGGCCUACCAAGGCGACGAUCUGUAGCUGGUCUGAGAGGACGACCAGCCACACUGGGACUGAGACACGGCCCAGACUCCUACGGGAGGCAGCAGUGGGGAAUUUUGGACAAUGGGGGCAACCCUGAUCCAGCAAUGCCGCGUGUGUGAAGAAGGCCUUCGGGUUGUAAAGCACUUUUGUCCGGAAAGAAAGCGUCCUGGCUAAUACCCGGGGCGGAUGACGGUACCGGAAGAAUAAGCACCGGCUAACUACGUGCCAGCAGCCGCGGUAAUACGUAGGGUGCGAGCGUUAAUCGGAAUUACUGGGCGUAAAGCGUGCGCAGGCGGUUCGCUAAGACCGAUGUGAAAUCCCCGGGCUUAACCUGGGAACUGCAUUGGUGACUGGCGGGCUAGAGUAUGGCAGAGGGAGGUAGAAUUCCACGUGUAGCAGUGAAAUGCGUAGAGAUGUGGAGGAAUACCGAUGGCGAAGGCAGCCUCCUGGGCCAAUACUGACGCUCAUGCACGAAAGCGUGGGGAGCAAACAGGAU